rnacentral:rRNA from 1 species
GAUGAACGCUGGCGGCGUGCCUAAUACAUGCAAGUCGAGCGAACAGACGAGGAGCUUGCUCCUCUGACGUUAGCGGCGGACGGGUGAGUAACACGUGGAUAACCUACCUAUAAGACUGGGAUAACUUCGGGAAACCGGAGCUAAUACCGGAUAAUAUAUUGAACCGCAUGGUUCAAUAGUGAAAGACGGCUUUGCUGUCACUUCUAGAUGGAUCCGCGCCGCAUUAGCUAGUUGGUAAGGUAACGGCUUACCAAGGCAACGAUGCGUAGCCGACCUGACAGGGUGAUCGGCCACACGGGAACUGAGACACGGUCCAGACUCCUACGGGAGGCAGCAGUAGGGAAUCUUACGCAAUGGGCGAAAGCAUGACGGAGCAACGCGGCGUGAGUGAUGAAGGUCUUCGGAUCGUAAAACUCUGUUAUUAGGGAAGAACAAAUGUGUAAGUAACUGUGCACGUCUUGACGGUACCUGAUCAGAAAGCAACGGCUAACUACGUG